UGGCUCAGGACGAACGCUGGCGGCGUGCCUAACACAUGCAAGUCGAGCGAGGAGAUCCUCGGGAUGAUCCUAGCGGCGGACGGGUGAGUAACACGUGGGCAACCUGCCUCAUAGAGAGGAAUAGCCUUCCGAAAGGGAGAUUAAUACCUCAUAACAUUGCAGUUUCGCAUGGAACAGCAAUUAAAGGAGUAAUCCGCUAUGAGAUGGGCCCGCGGCGCAUUAGCUAGUUGGUGAGGUAAUGGCUCACCAAGGCGACGAUGCGUAGCCGACCUGAGAGGGUGAUCGGCCACAUUGGGACUGAGACACGGCCCAGACUCCUACGGGAGGCAGCAGUGGGGAAUAUUGCACAAUGGGGGAAACCCUGAUGCCAGCAACGCCGCGUGAGUGAUGACGGCCUUCGGGUUGUAAAGCUCUGUCUUCAGGGACGAUAAUGACGGUACCUGAGGAGGAAGCCACGGCUAACUACGUGCCAGCCGCCGC
rnacentral:rRNA from 1 species